rnacentral:lncRNA from 13 species
AUGAUGAAGGCGGCCGACGAGCAGGUCACCAACAGGAAGGGGAGGAAAGCCAUUCCCCUGAGGAAGCACAGCAUCGCGCCGCCGCCGCCGCCGCCGCGGAGAGAGCGCUGCGCUCAGCUGCGCCGGGCGCCGGGUCGCUCCGGGCUGCCUGUAGGCGGCGGCCGGGCGCGGAAGGUCAUGGGCCGCGGGACAGGAAGGCUCCGCGACGGGUGGGGCAGGCCCAGCACGGGAGGGAAAGCGCGAAGAGCGGAGCGAGGCGGCCGGCGGCGGGCGGCAGGCGGCGAGGCGGCCGGGCGAGGGUGGGUGAGUUGCGGGCGGCCUGGGCUUGUUGCGAAACGAGUGAAGUCACAAAGCUGCCCGGCCGGGUCGGAGGCGCGCAGCGACCUCCCCGGGGACGCGACGCCGGAGCCGCCGGAGGGUACGCGGGGGUCGGGUUCCUUUCGCUUUUGGUUUGGAGACUCGGCGGAGCCGGGUUGGGCGCGGGGGUGCAGCGUGGGGUCACUGGCGGGGACUUCCCACCCCGGCCUGACUGCGCUGGCUCUUGCGCAACUCCAGAGAAAAGGAUUUAUUUCUCGCAACCCCUCCUUCCCGGGGAGUUUCCAGAGUGCCGGGUCUCGCACCCCGAGGGCGCCCCCUCCGAGGUCCAGCCACCAGCUUAUCGCGGCGGAGUGGCCACCCGGUGGUGACACCCACGCCAUCCAGUCUCGCUGCUGCUGCCGGGGUCGGGCAGAAGUGUUCAGUGACGUUCGCCAGGCCAUGGGCGCAGAUGUGGCUCCCACCUCAAUGGUGAACCCCGAAAACCCAGAUGGAAACUGCCACUGCCUGAACCGACACAGCCUGAGCAGAAUGUUCCAGGGCACAGAGAGACACCAGCACAGCCAGUCAAGGUACGACUUCAAGCCUUGAACAUGAUAUUAUUGGAGUUCAGAAAACAAUACCCCAAACUGAAGACCUCAGAAGCAGCCUUACUAGGGGGAGUCAGAGCAAGAUGGCCAAAUAGAACCCUUCAGUGA